GACGAACGCUGGCGGCGUGCUUAACACAUGCAAGUCGAACGAAGUGGCGAACGGGUGAGUAACGCGUAAUCAACCUGCCCUUCAGAGGGGGUCAACAGUUGGAAACGACUGCUAAUACCGCAUACUGAAGGAGGGGAUUGCGUCGGAUUGGCUCGUUGGGGGGGUAACGGCCCCCCAAGGCGAAGAUCAGGAGCCGGGCUGGGAGGGUGAACGGCCACAAUGGGACUGGGACACGGCCCAGAAUCCUACGGGGGGCAGCAGUGGGGAAUCAUCCGCAAUGGACGAAAGUCUGACGGAGCAACGCCGCGUGAGUUAUGACGGCCUUCGGGGUGUAAAGCUCUGUUAAUCGGGACGCGGUACCGGAAUAGAAAGCCACGGCUAACUACGUGCCAGCAGCCGCGGUAAUUC
rnacentral:rRNA from 1 species